GAUAACGUGUCCGAGUGGUUAAGGAGAUGGUCUUGAAAACCAUUGGGUUUUGCCCGCGCAGGUUCGAGUCCUGUCGUUGUCG
rnacentral:tRNA from 1 species